AUCUGACGAGUCCCAAAUAGGACGAAACGUGCAUCCUGGAU
rnacentral:hammerhead_ribozyme from 1 species